GACGAACGCUGGCGGCGUGCUUAACACAUGCAAGUCGAACGGAAAGGCCCUGCUUUUGUGGGGUGCUCGAGUGGCGAACGGGUGAGUAACACGUGAGUAACCUGCUCUAGAUUUUGGGAGAACUUCAGGAAACUGGGGCUAAUACCGGAUAGGAGCUCCUGUUGCAGGGUGGGGGUUGGAAAUUUUAGGCGGUCGGGGAUGGACGCGCGGCUGAUCAGCUUGUUGGUGGGGUAGUGGCUUACCAAGGCUUUGACGGGUAGCCGGCCUGGGAGGGUGACCGGCCACAUUGGGACUGAGAUACGGCCCAGACUCCUACGGGAGGCAGCAGUGGGGAAUAUUGCACAAUGGGCGGAAGCCUGAUGCAGCAACGCCGCGUGCGGGAUGACGGCCUUCGGGUUGUAAACCGCUUUCGCCUGUGACGAAGCGUGAGUGACGGUAAUGGGUAAAGAAGCACCGGCUAACUACGUG
rnacentral:rRNA from 1 species